CGAUUCUGAUAAACAACAAGGGCAAAGAGACACCUCACUGGUGGUGGUGUCUUAUUAUCAGUCAGGGGCAGAGCAGAUAGUCCUUUGUUCAUCCUAGCUUGAUGCCUGGAUCAGUGGCCAGAGCUGUUUCAUGCCUAGGGCACAUAA
rnacentral:snoRNA from 1 species